UAAAGGACGUCAUUGUCUGGAUGGCAAUAGAUAUUAAUGGUUGUUGCAAACAAAUCUAUUAAUCAAUGGGAAGAAGUCAAUGAAACUACAAAUAUUCCAUUCUCAACUACACAUACAUCCCUAGUCCCUCUCAUCUCCACUUUCAUAAACAAACUACUAAGGUAAAAUAAAAAGUGAAAUCCUUGGGCACAAACAUACCUUAUAACUUUGUUAAUAUCUUCUUCGUCGUCUACUUGAU
rnacentral:lncRNA from 1 species